CCCAUCUCAGCAGUAUAAAAACAGAGUCAACACUCUGCUACAUGCCUGUGUGCCUACACCUAACUAGCUAUACAACAACACUCUUCUUUCUACCCCAUACACACUCCCAUACGCAGCUCUUAUCUCCUUUUUCAUAACCUCAAUUUCCAAAAGAAACCAGAAAAUGUCUCAGAGAGCCAAUCGCCACCAGAGAAGGCCAUCCCAGAGCUUGUUCGUGUCCCCUGACUAUCUUUUGGCUCCUCUUUCUGAUGAUGCUGCAGCUGCAGACAAGGUGGCUGAUGCUGCCGCUGCUGCUGCUGCUGCAGUAUCCGGUCAUGCUAUGCCGCCGCAGCCGGUAACUCCCCCUCUGCCGCCAACCCCGAAAGCUGCAGAGAUCAAGGAGGUUCCGGCCACGGACAACCAGAAAACUGCGGACGCUGCUAACUAAACCCAAUUGGCGGCAGACAUAUUGUUCCGUUUAUGUUAUGUUGCGUUUUGGUUUUGCUGUUGUUAUGUGUUUGGGUUUGUGAUUGUGAUUGUGAAUGUCUCAAAAAUUGAGCAUUGUCAUGGAUGUUGAGAAUCAAAGAUGAAUCACAUUAAUGAGAAAGUUUCCUUUGAUUUAA